AUGGGCUGCGCUGGAUCCACGCCCAAAGUUGACGAGAGCAGUAAGAAUCUAAGGAAGCCUAAGCCUUGGAAGCACACUCAGCCAAUAACACCAGCGCAACUCAAACAGAUGCGUGAUGAAUUCUGGGACACAGCUCCACACUAUGGUGGACAGAAAGAGAUUUGGGACGCACUCAGGGCCGCUACAGACGCCGACUUAACUCUUGCGCAGACCAUAGUGGACAGUGCUGGAAUCAUCGUUUCGAAUCCAGACCUCACGCUUUGUUACGAUGAGAGAGGUGAGUCUGAGUUGCUGUUUUCUCUUUCACAAGUUUCGCUAUUUUGUUCAGCUGUCUUUUCUCUCGAAACUAAUUUCUGUGGGGACUGUAUGGAUGCAGGUGCAAAGUACGAGCUGCCCAAUUACGUUCUGAGUGAGCCAACAAACCUGAUCCGUGAUGGUUGA
rnacentral:rRNA from 1 species